GAUGAACGCUGGCGGCGUGCCUAAUACAUGCAAGUCGAGCGAACGGACGAGAAGCUUGCUUCUCUGAUGUUAGCGGCGGACGGGUGAGUAACACGUGGAUAACCUACCUAUAAGACUGGGAUAACUUCGGGAAACCGGAGCUAAUACCGGAUAAUAUUUUGAACCGCAUGGUUCAAAAGUGAAAGACGGUCUUGCUGUCACUUAUAGAUGGAUCCGCGCUGCAUUAGCUAGUUGGUAAGGUAACGGCUUACCGAGGCAACGAUGCAUAGCCGACCUGAGAGGGUGAUCGACCACACUGGAACUGAGACACGGUCCAGACUCCUACGGGAGGCAGCAGUAGGGAAUCUUCCGCAAUGGGCGAAAGCCUGACGGAGCAACGCCGCGUGAGUGAUGAAGGUCUUCGGAUCGUAAAACUCUGUUAUUAGGGAAGAACAUAUGUGUAAGUAACUGUGCACAUCUUGACGGUACCUAAUCAGAAAGCCACGGCUAACUACGUG
rnacentral:rRNA from 1 species